CACCACUGCCCUAUCUCCUGUUUCUUGUCUAUUUCUUUCCUGAAUCCACACUCCCCUUCUCAGGAACAUAUGGACUCGUCAGCAGGAGUGGACAAAGGGGCUCCUAGGUCUGAAUGGUGAGUCUCCAACCAAGAUUUGUAUAGUAAAGGCUUAGUACUCAGGGUGGUGGUGGAUGGUGGUAUUAGUAGGUAGUAGAAACUUUAUGAGGCUAAAGAUCUUUAGCUCAUUGGAGGCUUCCUUGUUUCUAUUCUGUGGACAUCCAAUUAUCUGUCUGUUCCUAACAUUCUCCCACCAUUGCCAACUGCCAUGAAGUGAAGCAGUCAAUGAGCCUUGCUGAGCCUGCCGUCCCUACCCUAUUUGGAAUUUGCGCCUUCAAAACUGUAAGCUAAAUAUAUCAUUUUUCUUUUUAUAAGUUAGCUGCCUUGACUAUUUCUCUGUAGUAAUGCAAAGCUAAUACAAUAGUCUUUUGUGUGGUUAAAGUGGCACUCUUUAGGCAUUACUUUUGAUGGUUUUGAGAUCAUAGCAAAGAAUUUAUAGUUGUUCCCUCAGCUUCAACUUUGGGCCAUGUUUCCAUGACAGUGCCCUAGAUUUGACCUUUACUUUUAAGGAAUUUUUAAAUGGUUUGCUAUCUCUAGAAGCUGAGACUCUUCAAGUCCUAACUCCUCUCUAGUUAGCAAUUCUUUCCUCAGCUUAUCUCUCUCCUCUUGCAUUUUAUAAAGGGCUAAAGGGAGCCAGAUGGUUCCUUCAACAGGCUGUCUCGAAAUCUCCUUAGCUGGAUCACCCAGUUCUUUAUUUACAUGCUCUGCUCUGCACAUCACUACACACGACGACGACGAUGCUUUAAGAUCUCUGGCUCUACCUCACAGGAUUCAAAGACCUGUUUCCAACACAGUUUUUCUCACUUUAUUUUAAACCUCCACCAGAACAUGACUAUGGCCCUUAAAUUCUCCCCAGCUGCCUCCUUUGCCUAGUUCCAAAUUCAUGACUACAUUUUACCUAAUCCUUAUGGUUGUCUAUUGCAAUAUUACAAAGCACCCCAAAAUCUGGUCUAUUAGAAUAAUGAACACUUAUUAUCUCACACAAUUCCAGAGGAACAGGAAUCUAGGAAUAGCUUGGUUGAGAUUUUUGGGCUCAGGGUCUCUUAUGAGGCUUCAGUCAACUAUAAGCCAGGGCUGAGUGGGGCUGAAGGUUCCAUUUUUAGUCUUAAAGGGCUGUUGGCAAAAUGACUUCCAUAUAGGAACACAGAGUACACAGCAGGGAGAGAGAGAGAGAGAGAGAGAGAGAGAGAGAGAGAGAGAGAGAGAGAGAGAGAGAGAACACAUAACAUCCUUAUAAUCUGAUCUCAGAAGCUGCAUAGUGUUACAUCUGCAAUAUUGUAUCAGUCAUACAGAUGAAAUCAUAAAAAAUGGGGAUGGAGUGAAUACCUGAAGUUGAGAUUAUUAGGGAAUAAUUUUGGAGGGUAUCACAGGGUUAAAUGUCUCUCUUACCAGAGCCCAUUGAAAAGCAGCUGCAAUGCAAGAAUGAAGCAAAGAAAUAAAAAUCUUAACUUUUCUGUUAUUGAAAAAGCUAACUGGGGGAGGCUUGGAUAUGGACACAAAUGGUAUCAAUACUUGACCUCAGAAUUAGAACUGUUACCUAGAUAAGAAAGUAGAAGACAAUUAUUUUUUUAUCUCCUCCAGAGUUUAUCACAUAGACAGCAUGUGUGUGACUGGAGAAUCUACUUGGUGUGACUAGGAUAAUCUACAAGAGUAGUGACAAGUCAGAAUGAGCACUGAGAAACAACAUCGGUGUGCCUCUCUCCUCCUUCUUCCAGACAGGAGAACUGGGAGGGAAAAAUCUACUGUAACUCUCUCCGUUCUCCAGAAGAUCACCCCAGGUGUAACGAACGUGGUUCUCAAAGUUGAACAUGUCCAGUGCUGGAUCCCAUCUCUCAGAGAUCUGUAUUCCUUUACAAGUUCAUAGGAAAUGCUGACAUAGCUGCUCUGAGAACCCUAGUUUAACAUUAGCCUGACACCCACAGUGCCAUUUCUUACUUGCAAUCCCGUUAGUCUUUGUAACAAUAUAAGGCCGGCUCCUCAAUUUUCUGCAAUUGGGCCAGGUUUCCAUCCUCCUUGCCAUGGAGAACCAAUUUUCCAACAGGUCUGGCUCCAAAAUCUGUGCUCUUCCUUCUGCAGCAGGUUGUCAUCAAUUAUUAAGAACACAGCAUUAGUAGGAAGCUGAGACUAAACGGUAAUUUUCUAGAACUAUUUCCUGCCAGCUCCACCUCUGAUCUUCUUAUCCUGUGGUCGCAAACCCAGCCUGCUCCAUUUCACUUUGCAAAGCAGAUUGUAAGGCUGGGGAAAUAGCUGAGCUAGUGAAGCGCUUCUGUGUAAGCCCAAAGACCUGGGUUUGAUCCCCAGUGCCCACAAACAAAGCUGACCGUGGUGGAGACAGAUACAGGAGGAGACCCAGAGCUUGCCGGCCAGCCAGCCUAGCCAAAAUGGGGAACCCAAGACUGACCCCACACCUCCACAGAGGGAGCCCUCCAAGGACCACUGCCCUGAAGGAGCGUUUGUUUUCAGUUCCCUGAAAUUCUUGUCUUGGUCCCUUCAGACGCAGAGGCUGCACGCACCCUCAGAGUUCCACACUAUCCAUGUGGUUUCCCGCUCCUUGCUCCUUGUUCACACCUUUGUAAAUAAUACUCCCCUCUUGCAUAUGCUCAUUGGAUUUGCUGUUUCCCAUGACCCUUUGUGAGCAUUUCUAUGAGCACAGUUAGGAGUUUCGCUUUCCUCAAUCCAACCCGGUGACUUAGCUUAGGUCCUGGCCUUCUUCCUAGAACUAGGUAAGUCCAUGGACUUCCUGGUGCUAUCCAGAUGGUAGCCCUCCACCAGCACUCUUGGUUUAAAGGUGCAAAACACCCGCUCCUGGCCCCGUAUGUUUACUUUGUAGGUACACCAGAUGGCAGGAGAACGUGGAAGGUGCUGCUGGCAGAAUUCCUGUCAUCAAAAAUUCGUGCUGUAUUUUAGAACCCCACAAUUUUCUCCCUGACACCAGCCAUUUAUUCUGACAACAGAUUGACAAGGUGGUUCAGCAGGAAAAGGCCUUGCCAUCAGGCCUGACUACUUGUUUGGUCUUCAGGAGCCAUAUGGAAUAAGGAGAGACUCAAUUCCCAAAAGUUGUCCUCCAUCUCACCAACACAUUCUGUGGCACGAAUGCACCUAUCUCCACACAUACAAAAUAAAUAAAUCAGUAAGGUCAUAAAAAUAUCAAUGCCAAAUCUGCAAACCAAAUAAAUAAUAUUGGGCUGAUGGGCCUAAGUCAGUGUUUUCCAAUGGUCCCUGAGUGAUUUCACUAUACAGCUAAAAUUGACAACUCAAUGGUCUAAUUCAAACAUUUAGUAGAUUGGGAAAGCGAGAUUUGGAGAGCUUAAGUGACUUUUCAUUAUGUUUUUAAACUUGCCCUAUUCUAUAUGAUAGCCAUUCUCAACAUGUAGCUGUUAAAAUUUAAAUGUGUUCAAAUCAAAUAAAUUUAGAUUUGAGUUUCUGACCCAUAUUUCCCAAGUACUCAGUAAUCCACAUGUAGCUACUGGCUACCUUAUUAAACAGAAAGGAUGCAUAGGUAUCUGUCAAAACAGUACGUUCCCUUAGGUAUUGCUUUAAGAGAAGAGAGGUAAUUUUAUAUGUGUUCAUAAGCAUCUUUCUUUUUCUUUUCUUUUCUUUUUUUUCUUUUUUUUUUUUUGAGACAGGGUUUGUCUAUAUAGCCUUGGCUAUCCUGGAACUCGCUUUGUAGAACAGGUUGGCCUCCAACUCACAGAGAUCCACCUGCCUUUCCCUCCUGAGUGCUGGGACUAAAGGCAUGUGCCACCACUUCUUCCAUAAACAUCUUUCUUUGAAGUGUGGCAAAGCGUUGUCUUAUGCCUUGCUAAAGAUUUCUAUGUAAGCAUUAAUCAAUUUCAAAUUACAAGCUAUUAUUCCACAAUGUUUAGUAUAACACAGUAUUUUUAAAGCAAGAGUAUCUCACCAGUAGCAUGGAGCUCAAUAAAGCACCUAAUACCGUAAUAAAGAUGAAAGCUUCAUAGGCCAUCAUAGAUGCCACUCAAAUCCACAUCAAUCCACCUCUACCCCAAAACCCAUGGAUAAUAAUCCAAAAGAACCUGUUUCUUUGACUGAUGAGCAAAGCAUAUUGGAAGAAAUGGGAAAGUUACAAUUCCCACUGAGGGUCUGUUAGACCCAAAGCCAGUUCACAAGUGUGUCCAGACACAGCCUUGACCCCAAGAGUGCAUACAGGAAAGUGGUAGAGGGUAAAACCUUCUCCUGUGGAUAAAAAACAAGGAGGAACCAAGAGAAACUAAGUUUUCUCAUCCUUAGUAUAAUAAGAUUUAUCACCAGCAUUAUCAUGUUUUUAAAUGAGAGAACAGAUUUUUGUCCCUUAGAAUACCCUGGUCUCUUAGAAUAAACAUGCCCAGGACAACAGAGUUCCUGGAGCAGGUGCUGGUGCUGGCAGGAUUUCUGGUGAGUUGGUAGAAUUUUGGCAGUGCAACUAUCUUAAAAAAUUUGCUAGCUUUGUUUUUUUCAGUUGUGUUAUGAAAUUGAAAUUUAAUACCACUGUUUCUUGUGAAUACAUUGUUCCUUGUCAUGUGGCUCAGUGUUUCCCAUUCCCAAGUGUAUUACAUCAAGUCAUGAGCUAAACAUGCCUAAGAUUAAACUAGAGGAAGUCAGUUAGCCAAUAGCGUAAGAAGCCAAUCUUAGAGAGAUUACAGCGUCCCAAGCAUUUUACAGAGAUUGCAUCAUUUAAUUCCCACAACUCACAAUGAGUUAAGUACUAAUAUUAUUCUUUUACAGAUCCUAAAUGAUUUAGUUAAGGUCACACAGCUAAUAAGUGGUAGAAUUGAACUUUGAACCCAGGCAGUAGAGCUUUUAAAGGAAGCAUUUUACUGUUUUCACCAUGGACUUAAUAAAAAGAUCAUACUUCAUCUUUCAAGAUCAGAGACACAGGAAUGGACUGGUCAUCUGGGCAGGGAAAAAAACUCUCCCUAGUAACAAGAUGUGGAUGUGGGCUUGGAUAGCUGGGAUUCCAAGAUUUAAGACUGUUUUGUCAAAGAAUGGACUUCUAGUCAAUUUGACACUGAUCUUUCCUGUUCUCUGGCAACAGUAGUAGUUGCAAAAACCAGAGACUAGGAAAGAGAAGGGGAGGACAUAAAACAAAACAGCAGUAGCUGUAGGUGCUCCUCCACUGGUUAUGCAAUAUGCCCCAGUGUCUGGGCUCUGGGAAGACUGCGGGGGAGGUAAGGUUUCCUGCCCCAAGGUAGGGGGCCUUAGAUGGAGAGAUACCUGCAUUAAUUAGAUCGUUAUAUAAAACACCACCUUUCUUCAGGCCAUAUUCUCUUUGGUAACCUUUACAAAUCUCAGCGUGUUUCCACAUUUCAUUUACAAAUGCAAACAAGAAACCCAGUCAGCUCCAACAUUACUAGCAUCCCAGCUGGCACAACCCAAAUUAUUUUCUCACCCAGGCAGCAGCCUGAGGUUGUUAUCAGUAUCAGAAUGCUCUUUGGGUCAUUUUAUAGCCACUCUGUUUCUUUGCUCACUGAACCACAGACUAAUGCAACUUUCCCAAGUAGUCCUGUGUAAAGACAGCCCUUCGAACUUGCUUCUACAAAGCCUCAAGAGUUUUAUUUUUAUUUUUUCAAAGUGAGGCUUGGAUGGGCUUGAAGAGAUGACUCCAGAUGUUAAAAGUGCUCGCUGCCCUUGCGCAGGACCAGAGCUCAGCUCUCAGCACCCACAUUAAGAGGCUCACAACUUGCUGCAAUUCCAACUCCAACUCCAGGGGAUAUGACUCCCAGCCUCUACAGAGACAAGGUCUCAUGGAUCCCAGGUUUGCUUAAGUUGGAUAUGUUGUCAAGGAUGUCAAUGAACUUCAGAACUUCUUGCCUCCACCUCCAAAGUGCUGAAAUUUCAGGCACAAUAGGUUUUAUGUUAUUCUGGGAAUUGAAGCCAAGACUUUAUACAUGCUAGGCAAGCACUCUUUCAACGGAGUUACACCCCCAGCCAGCUCAUUUACUGUGACCCCUGAAUAAUAUCACAUUGUCUGGAUAUACCACAGUUUAUUUAUCCAUUCAUCUACUGUGGAGCAGCUGUUGUGAAAAACUUUAUGUGUGCAUAAAUUAUCAUUGUGUUUGGUUACAUAUGAAGAGUUUGAUUGUGGAUAAUUUGCCCAUAAUUUUUAGCUCAUUUACAUUAGGUAUAUAUCAUUUACAUUUUUUGAUUAAAUCUUCUUGUGUACAUACAAACUCAUGGCUGAUUAUGACAGUAUAUUGUGUGUUUCCCAUCACAGAAUAUGAAUAUGGGUAAUUUAUAAAGAAUAGAGUUAUUUCACAGAUUGUGAAGAUGGGGGUGGGGGGUGGGAAGGGGUUCUAAGAUGAAGUCACCAUUGGACUGUUCCUCUCAGGUUCCAAUAUGGCACCUUGUAGCUGCAUCCUCCAGAAGGCUGUUCUUACAUGGGAGAAGAACAAAGAACCCCAUGUGGCCCAUUAAAUUCAUUAAUGAAGGCAGAGUGAUCAGAACCCAAAGACCUUCUAAAGCACUACACCUGAAGAAGCGGUUGCACUGUGGAUGUAAGUUGCUGACACAUAAAUUUUGGAGGAGACAAACACAUUCAAACCAUAACAGGUAGUGUGUAUACUCGGUCCUGAGAGUCCCUGCUUGUUUUUGCUAGAUAAUUCAUGGAUUGUCUCAUUGUUUCUGGAAAGCUAAUAGACUGUGAAUUCACUACAAGUGCCUUUGUGCUGGGACUGACAGUGAGUGACAGCAGACAAGGUUGGGGCCCUGAGACACUCCUCAGGCAGCCAGCCUAAGAGCCAGAAAUCUGCAGUUGCCUUGGCAACAGCUGAAGUUUCCUGUCAUGGACUGAAAAGCACGAUGUCUCUUCAUUUGUGAAAAGUCUAUUUUACGCUCUCAAUCUGCCUGCAGCAUAAAUAUGCCAGGAAUGAGA